rnacentral:rRNA from 1 species
GAUGAACGCUGGCGGCGUGCCUAAUACAUGCAAGUCGAGCGAACGGACAAGAAGCUUGCUUCUCUGAUGUUAGCGGCGGACGGGUGAGUAACACGUGGAUAACCUACCUAUAAGACUGGGAUAACUUCGGGAAACCGGAGCUAAUACCGGAUAAUAUUUUGAACCGCAUGGUUCAAAAGUGAAAGACGGUCUUGCUGUCACUUAUAGAUGGAUCCGCGCUGCAUUAGCUAGUUGGUAAGGUAACGGCUUACCAAGGCAACGAUGCAUAGCCGACCUGAGAGGGUGAUCGGCCACACUGGAACUGAGACACGGUCCAGACUCCUACGGGAGGCAGCAGUAGUGAAUCUUCCGCAAUGGGCGGAAGCCUGACGGAGCAACGCCGCGUGAGUGGUGAAGGUCUUCGGAUCGUAAAACUCUGUUAUUAGGGAAGAACAUAUGUGUAAGUAACUGUGCACAUCUUGACGGUACCUAAUCAGAAAGCCACGGCUAACUACGUG